rnacentral:lncRNA from 1 species
GGGAGGGACUGCGUCUUGGGAGAGUCCACGCUGGCACUGAGCCACAUUCUGGGACAGCGAGGAUCCCGAGGUCGGGGGAAGACCUCAGAUUUCCCUCAGACUUCCAGGGAAGCCCCUGGGAUUCCCCCAAAAGAAGCCACGUGGAGCAACGGAGCAGGAAGAUCCACUCCCGUGUCAGUGGGUCUGCUUUGCUCUCCCCUGCUGCCUGGCGGAGGGGCCCUGCAGCCGACGUGGGUCAGAGACCCGCGGAUGGACCCAGCCUCAGCAGGACUGCCUGCCCGGCACCCCAGGCACCCCAAAGUUGAAUUUCCUGUCCAUGGACUUUGGUCUCCCGCUGAUUGAUGCUCCGUCUUGCCUUUCAGUUGUCCCUGUGUUCCGUCAAGCCCUCCUGCCCUCUCAGGAUGGGGUAUCUCACCAGCCUAGCCAACCAAAAUUCACAGCCCUGACGUUGAAACAUACAGGCAAAAAAAUUAGGGGGGGAGGGUCAUGCAAUAUGAAGAAUGGCCACCAGGUGUCGCGGUUGUUCCAAACCUCUUCUACAGCUACCUUCGCUCCGCUGAAACCCGGCAGAGCGUAAUAGUAGUAAUCCCGCACAAUUACACGCAAUUCAUAAUCCGAUGAGCGUUCGCCUCCGAGAUCCCAUUUUGUCUUCACAGCAACCUUGAUCCAUUGCAAGGGCUGAUAAGUCCAUUUCACAGAGGAGAAAACUCUGCAAGAUUCCCUAGACUGAAUCAGGACUUCCUGAGGGCCCUUAGCCCCUGGGACACAGAAGAACUGGACUCCAGGAGCCACAGAGUGACUGACUGUGGUGGCGGACACUGCAGAGCUUGAAGCAACCCUCAGUACUCCACGCUGAGAGAGAGGGAGGUGGUUUUCUGGGUUUUUCCCCCAAUAUCUACAAAAUUUUAAAAAUUGGAAAAAGUGGGAAAGCAUAAAGCAGAGAAAAAACAAUCACAUACACUGGCAAGCACUGCUGACAUCUGGGCACUUCUCUGAAGAGUAGGAGAAUCUUUGGCGUUGAGAGCACAUCGCCUGGAGCCUCAGGGGCUCCUGAAGAAUGGCCCCCGGAAGACAGCACAAAUAGAGCAACUUAUUCCACUGGGUGAGCUUCACUCUCAGAAGACUUGCCGCCUCAUCGUGACGAGAUGGACGCUGACAGCUCCAGGCUCAUGUCCUAUCUGCUCAGAAGUCAAGUAGAAAGAGAUUCCUCUUUCCCAGUAGUCCACACUAAAGUACUGACACCCAAUGGACCACGUGGCCAUCUUAAAACCACCGCUGUGGGUCUGAUUACCAGGCCUGGGCCGUGUGCCCAUUCUAGGUCAGGAGACGUGGGGCAGCUCUGUCUGAUGGACAGAGCAAGGAAGGGGUGGUUUCCCAAGAGAAAGCUAAGAGGCUCUUACAUGAAAAAAAGGAGAACACAUUUUGCAGGCAAAACAGCCCCUCUUGCAAGUACUUAUCCCUGGAGAAGGCACACACAAGGCAAGUGACCUACACAGAGCUUUUGCAAUCUACUUGUCCCCUUACUAGGUACUUUCACACAUCACCUUAGGCAAUGCUCCCAGCAAGCCUCCAAGAUAGAUAUUAGUAGUUCCAUUUCUACAGGUGAGGAAAACGGAGGCUCAGAAAGCUGGGGGUGUGGAGGUGCGGGGUGGUAAUUUAACCAAAGUUGUGCAGCUGGGCGAUGGCAGAGAUGGGACUUGUGGGUGGAGAUGGCUGGAGCACUUGCAGAGGAAGAUGAUCAAUAAAAUAGUCCUUUCCGUGUUAGAACUGGGUGCGGUUUCCAAAUGUAGGGCAGUUCAGUCCCCUUCCUAGUG